AGGCCAGCUCCCGUUCCAACACCUCUACCUUAGGGACAUCUGCAGAAAGGCUGGGCAGUGGCAAAAAAGGUAGCCAGUGAAAGGAGGGCUGAUAGACAGGUGCUUGGCCUCAAGAGCCCUGAAUCUGAGCCUCAUCACUCCCUCUGUCUUACUGCAGGGGGCCUUGGAAAAAUGGCCAAUCUCUUAGACCCUCACUUUUAUCAUCUGUAAAAUGGCACUGAGGCGUCCUGUCCUUCUGACUCCUCUGGUUAUGCUAGGAAGCUGAUAAAGACAUGGGCGUCAAAGCAUGAGGCAGAGCAUAAAAGUCACUGACUGAGGGCAUCCCUGCUACUUUGUGAAAGGAACAGGAGGGUAAGGAAGGAGACACAGGGAAAGGACAAGGCAGGUGAGAACGAGUGUCCAGACCUGGGGAUUCCAGACUAAGAACAAGGGCAACAGGAGCAGUGGGGAGAGAUGCAAAACAGACCUGAUCUUAGGAUGCUGGGAAAACUCCCCAGGAGGCGGUGCAGCUCCCUAAGUCGAGCUGACUCCCACAAAGAUCCUCCCCAGGAGGAAGAGUAGUGCCCUGGCAGGGAGCUGGAGCAAUGGAGCUCUCUUGAGGAGGCAGAGGGUAGCAAGAGCACAUAGAGAAGGAUGAGGAUGAGACCGGCCCUCUCUCACCUUCCCACAGGACAGACCGAUCACUCCCUCACCCAGCCCAGGGGCCAGAACACGAGAAAGAGUAUUCAGUGACUGAGGCACUCCUCUGCCCCCUCUGGAGAAGGAAGAGAGGACAGGGUCCCUUCCAGGCUUUGAGAAGGUCAAAGCUCAAGAAGAUCUGAGGUUAUCUA
rnacentral:lncRNA from 1 species